GACGAACGCUGGCGGCGUGCCUAAUACAUGCAAGUCGAACGCAUUUUCUUUCACCGUAGCUUGCUACACCGAAAGAAACUGAGUGGCGAACGGGUGAGUAACACGUGGGUAACCUGCCCAUCAGCGGGGGAUAACACUUGGAAACAGGUUCUAAUACCGCAUAAUUCCAUUUACCGCAUGGUAAAUGGAUGAAAGGCGCUUUUGCGUCACUGAUGGAUGUACCCGCGGUGCUUUAGCUAGUUGGUGGGGUAACGGACUACCAAGGCUGGGAUGCAUAGCCGACCUGAGAGGGUGAGCGGCCACACUGGGACGGAGACACGGCCCAGACUCCCACGGGAGGAAGCAGGAGGGAUUCUUCGGCAAGGGACGCAAGUCUGACCGAGCAACGCCGCGGGAGGGAAGAAGGUUUUCGGAUCGGAAAACUCGGUUGUUAGAGAAGAAAAAGGAUGAGAGUGGAAAGUUCAGCCCUUGACGGUAUCUAACCAGAAAGCCACGGCUAACUACGUG
rnacentral:rRNA from 1 species